AAGGCUCCCAGUAGACGACUGGGUUGAUAGGCCAGAUGUGGAAGCCUAGUAAUGGGUGAAGCUGACUGGUACUAAUAGGCCGAGGGCUUGUCCUCAGUUG
rnacentral:rRNA from 1 species